rnacentral:rRNA from 1 species
AAUACGAUCACGAGACCGAUAGCGAACAAGUACUGUGAGGGAAAGUUGAAAAGGUCUUUGAAGAGAGAGAGUUCAAGAGUACGUGAAACAGUUCAGGGGUAAACCUAAGAAACCCAAAAGAUCGAACGGGGAGAUUCAUCGUCAGCGACGCUGGCUUCGCGUCGGUGGGCGAUGCCACACGGGGCCUCGCGGCUCUCAGCGCUGGCACGCUGCCGUGCGUCGAUGUCCGACGUUCGUCGUCGUGCACUUCUCCCCUAGUAGAACGUCGCGACCUGCUGGGUAUCGGUCUACGGCCCGGGUGCGGUGACUGACGCGUCGCCGGUAAAACGGCACGCGUCAAACCCCCGGUCGCCCGGCCGGCUGCCCGGCGGUACACGCAAGGUAUCAGGCCGCAGCAUCACUCGCGCGCGUUUAACCGCGUCGCGCGAGCGCGCGCCACGGUACACGGAGGUUCACGGACCUAGCGCCGUCACCGGUCCUGGCCCGCUGUUGGCUCGUACGGUUAACCUUCAACAGGCCGCAUCCGUGCGCGCUCGGGGAUCNCGAUACCGGUCGGCGACGCUACUGCUUUGGAUACUCUUAGGACCCGUCUUGAA